rnacentral:rRNA from 1 species
AUGAACGCUGGCCGCGUGCCUAAUACAUGCAAGUCGAGCGAACAGACGAGGAGCUUGCUCCUCUGACGUUAGCGGCGGGCGGGUGAGUAACACGUGGAUAACCUACCUAUAAGACUGGGAUAACUUCGGGAAACCGGAGCUAAUACCGGAUAACAUGUUGAACCGCAUGGUUCAACAGUGAAAGACGGUCUUGCUGGCACUUAUAGAUGGAUCCGCGCCGCAUUAGCUAGUUGGUAAGGUAACGGCCUACCAAGGCAACGAUGCGUAGCCGACCUGAGAGGGUGAUCGGCCACACUGGAACUGAGACACGGUCCAGACUCCUACGGGAGGCAGCAGUAGGGAAUCUUCCGCAAUGGGCGAAAUCCUGACGGAGCAACGCCGCGUGAGUGAAGAAGGUCUUCGGAUCGUAAAACUCUGUUAUUAGGGAAGAACAACUGUGUAAGUAACUAUGCACGUCUUGACGGUACCUAAUCAGAAAGCCACGGCUAACUACGUG